AGCGAGAGAACGUUGCCGCAGGCAACGGCCCGAAGGGCGAGGCGCUUUAGCGCCGAGUAAUCCUUCCCCCACCACCA
rnacentral:sRNA from 2 species